CGCUUGGUGGCGUAAUGGUAACAUGCUCCGUUGAUAUAGAUAUAUCAUAAGAGGACAGUUCGGAGUUCAAUUCUCUGUCAAGCCA